GUAUCGGUGGUUCAGUGGUAGAAUUCUCGCCUGCCACGUGGGAGACCCGGGUCUUGUUCCCGGCCAAUGCA
rnacentral:tRNA from 1 species